rnacentral:rRNA from 1 species
CCCGGGCCUUGUACACACCGCCCGUCACACCAUGGGAGUGGGGUUUACCCGAAACAGGUUGCCUGACCGCAAGGAGGGCGCCUACCACGGUGAGCUUCGCGACUGGGGUG